CGAAUCGCCCCACCCCUCCCUUGCUGAGUACGUCCAGCUCUCAGCCUAAGCUCUGCAAGCAUCCAGGGAUUCCCUCCUGAUAACCCCCGCCGCCCCGGGGAUGUGUGGCUCGGGGAGUGUGACUUGGGGAAAAUUACUUCUCUUCUCGGAACCUCAGUUUCCGUAUCUGUACAAUGGGAAGCUUGAUGCCCGCUUGCUUGUGAUGUUGCGAAGAACCGAACACGUGCGUGUACCAGUUCCCUCUUACCAGACCAUCGAUCGCACCCUCGCCUUUACUCUUCCUGCUCCUGCCUUUCGACCCUUAACCUGGCCCACCAUCCUUUGGGGCGGAUGACGGAUGGGGUUCAGGAAUCCUAAAUGCUGGAGACGUUGGGAGCUCUCUGCUAAAUUCUCUGCAUGUCUCACCCUGUCAGCCUUCCUGGAUUUCCUCAUCCAAGCCCAACGGUAAUCCUGAUGCUGCUGGUCUGGGGAGUACACUUUGAGGACCACAGGCACAGAAGUGGAGAUGGUGUCAUCAGGCUAGACCUGUCUUCAGAUCUCAGCUCUGCCUCUUACUCUGUGAUUCUGGAUAUGUCUCUGUCCCUCUCCAAGCUGCUUUCUCAUCUAAAAAAGGAUUCAUCUUCCCCUCCCAACUGGGGUGAUGUGAGGAGUAACAAGCUUAAGAUAAUUCCAUGUACCUUGCAGGUUCUUAAUAAAAGGCAUG
rnacentral:lncRNA from 1 species